GCGCGCCCACCCGCCCUUCAACUCGCUCUCAUCCAGCUCAAACAAGCGCUCAGCCAUGUCCACAGCCGCAGCAUCGGCGCCGACCUCUGCUCCCAAAACGCCAAAACGGAGGUCCAAGGCCAAGAAGUCUGGAGCCAGUGUGUCUGAUUUGAUCCUGAAGAUCGUGUCUUCCUCAAAGGAGCGCGGUGGAGUCUCUCUGGUGGCCCUGAAGAAAGCACUCGUUGCCAAUGGUUAUGAUGUGGUCAAAAACAACUCGCGCGUCAAACUGGCAGUGAGGCGACUGGUGGCAAACGGCCGCCUGAUUCAGACCAAAGGCACCGGAGCAUCAGGAUCAUUCAAGAUCGGCUCGAAAGCUGCUAAAAAGCCCAAGAAGGCAAAGGCGAAGAGAAAGACGCCCAAGAAGGCAAAGAGAAAGACGACUAAGAAGCCUGCUGGGGCCAAGAAAUCUCCAAAGAAGAGGAGAAGAAAGGUUCUGAAGAGUCCCGAAAAAGCCGACGAGACAGCCGCGGUCAAGAAGAGCCCAAGACCCAAGAGAGCCAAACGAAGAGCUUCCAAAACAAGCAGAGCAAGAACAGCCAAGAAAUAAUUGAUUUAAAGCAAAAUCACUGUUCUUAUAAUUUAUAAAGAUUUGCUGCAUUAGUUUAAUGCUUUGUAAAAAAUAAAAUAAUUCUUAAUUGCACUAAA